CCCUUAGAUGUUCUGGGCCGCACGCGCGCUACAAUGAUGAAUUCAACGAGUUUAUAACCUUGGUUGAAAAGCCUGGGUAAUCUUUUGAACUUUCGUCGUGAUGGGGCUAGACCCUUGCAAUUAUUGGUCUCCAACGAGGAAUUCCUAGUAAACGCAAGUCAUCAGCUUGCAUUGAUUACGUCCCUGCCCUUUGUACACACCGCCCGUCGCACCUACCGAUUGAAUGGUCCGGUGAAAUCUUCGGAUUGAGACUUUGAUUGCUUCACGGAAAACGCUGUUUUAAAAAGUUGAUUAAACCUUACCAUUUAGAGGAAGGUGAAGUCGUAACA
rnacentral:rRNA from 1 species